CCUACGGGAGGCUGCAGUGAGGAAUAUUGGUCAAUGGCCGGAAGGCUGAACCAGCCAUGCCGCGUGAAGGUCAGUGCCCUAUGGGCGUUAAACUUCUUUUGUGCGGGAGCAAUAAUGGUCACGUGUGGCCAGACGAGAGUACCGUACGAAUAAGCAUCGGCUAACACCGUGCCAGCAGCCGCGGUAAUACGGGGGAUGCAAGCGUUAUCCGGAUUUAUUGGGUUUAAAGGGUGCGUAGGCUGUGAGGUAAGUCAGCGGGGAAAUGCCCGCGCUCAACGGGGUGAAGUGCCAUUGAUACUGGCUUGCUGGAAUGCGGAGGCGGUGGGAGGAAUGUGUGGUGUAGCGGUGAAAUGCAUAGAUAUCACACAGAACACCGAUUGCGAAGGCAUCUCACGAAUCCGCGAUUGACGCUGAUGCACGAAAGCGUGGGUAUCAAACAGGAUUAGAUACCCGUGUAGUC
rnacentral:rRNA from 1 species